AUCUCCCUAAUGACAAAGGUUACUUGCAAUUUUGGGGAAGUGAAUUCAAAUUCCUUUUAUUAAUUUUAAUUAGGUUUUAUGGUGAGAUAGAGUGACGUAUAUGUGUAUACACACACAUAUAUGGACUUGUUCAACAAAACAUGCACUGUUUACUCAGCAGCCCACAUUUGUCUCAGCAAUGGCUUCUUUUUAGAAAAGCUACUAGAUGAAAUGAAAUGGAGGGGGAGGGGGUCUUGGACAGAGUAUUGUGCAAGUUGAAAGUCUCUGGAUGGAGCUUUGUAUAUCCUACUGGCCAAUUUGGGUGCAAAUUGGAUUUGAAGGACUGCCCACAUCUACCUCAGGCCUGUCUCCUAAACACGUGAAGCCCUAACUCUGUAUUUCCAUUUCAUUCAGUCUCUGUAAUUACCUUUAGAAGAAAGAGGGCAUCCAGUGGUCUCAAAUCUGAAAAAAAUUCUCUAUCAUUUUAAUAUUUUCUCAUCAGCAGCUUAAUCUUGAUCUCAUAGAUCUAUAAAUGUAACUGUUGACAAAUCAAAGCUUAAGUCAGAGCAAAUAUAAUUUUCUGGCACAUAGUUGUAAACUUCUCAUCUGCCUUCCUCUGCAUCCCCCCCCACCUCCCUAGAAGACAAGCCUUGUAAAGAGUGAGUGGUUGUAACUAAGAAUUGCUUAGGAAAUAAAUUACAUUAUUCUGUCUCUAUUUCAAUUAAUAGUCAAGACUUCACAGCCAAUUUCAGGGAGGAGCAUGUUUAGUUUUUCUAUUUGUGAUGUUACAUUUAGUCUACCUUUUUGUCUGUGCCUUCUUUUUUUCCCUUAUUACCUGCUGGUUAAAGGAGGGCAAGCCAUUUUUGCCUAAAAUGCACCCUGCUCUUGGCACCCUGGAUAGGAUGUCCUUGGAGCAGUGCCCAGCACCAAACUCUGGAUAAAGCUCUCUUCCUGCAGAUGCAUGGGGAGUCCCUGACCCUGUGACAUUUGGGAGCAGGAGGAACCCAUGCAGAGGCAUCCAGGUCUUCCCCACCCCCUCCAACUCGAAGCAGAGGAAAAGGCGUUGGAGCAACAUUUCGCAGAAGGUCCUGAUCUUCUCCCUCCCUUGCUAACCCCCGGAGGCUGUAGCUGCGACGGUUACCGGCGAGGAGCGUCUAGGAAUCCUGGCUCCAGGGCCUGCGUGCCGCUCCUCCCCACUCGCACCCGCGCACUUGCCCUGCGCUCCUUUGUCGCCCGCGCCUGCCAAGCGCAAUCCUGCCAGAAGACUUGCUUUUAGGUUUCAUUUCCUGAUUUACCCCCUUAGUUAUCUUUUCAGCCCAGAUACCUUGUGUUUGCACAUCACGCCGGAAGCACGCAUACAGAUCAAUAUUUUUGGGCUAAGAGGUCAUCUGCCACAGUGAACGCGGAAAAAAAUUGAGCCUAGUAAAAGGCUUUAAACUUAUUUAUAUAAAGCACAACUCAGAGUUAAAAGACUGGGGUGCGUGCAGAUGAAGUUAAUUCGAAUAUUCAAUUACAUGUAAGGAGUGUGGGAUCUAGUGGGGGAGAGCAGUUAUAUGCCUAUUUCCCUCCUGCCCUAGGG
ensembl:lncRNA